GUCUUCGGCCAUACCACCCUGAACGCGCCCGAUCUCAUCUGAUCUCGGAAGCUAAGCAGGGUCGGAUGUGGUUAGUACUUGGAUGGGAGACCACCUGGGAACACCGAGUGCUGCAGCCU
ensembl:rRNA 5S_rRNA 5S ribosomal RNA